rnacentral:rRNA from 1 species
GACAGAGGGGGCAAGCGUUGCUCGGAAUCACUGGGCGUAAAGGGCGCGUAGGCGGGAUGGCAAGUCAGUCGUGAAAUCUCUCGGCUCAACCGAGAAACGUCGGCUGAUACUGCCGUUCUUGAGGGAUGCAGAGGAGACUGGAAUUCCCGGUGUAGCGGUGAAAUGUGUAGAGAUUGGGAAGAACACCAGUGGCGAAGGCGGCUAUCUGGACGGUUACUGACGCUAAGACUCGAAAGCGUGGGGAGCAAACAGG